GGGGGAGGGAGGAAGAAAUCACGGCUCGGGGACGGGCAGCGUCUGUCAGCGGGUGGUGAGCGGUUGCACCCUUCAUGUUUCUCUCCUUCAGAUUAAGUCUUUGAAUGCUGUUAACGCUCCUGUGCAUCUACAGUUCUUGAUCUCUUAGACACUGAAGAUCUUUGCUGUUACCGAGUAUCUACAGAGGCUUAGAGAGAAAUUUUCAAAAAGAAAAGGCUUCAGGAGAAUACAGAGAGGUUUUAAAAGAGAAUCCCAGGUUGGAAGGGACCUCAGGGGUCAUCUAGUCCAACCUUUCUAGGAAGAGCACAGUCUAGACAAGAUGGCCCAGCGCCCUGUCCAGACAAAUCUUGAAGGUGUCCAAUGUGGCCAAGUCAACCACUUCCCUGGGUAGAUUAUUGCAAUGGUUGACUGUCCUCACUGUGAAAAAUUUCCCUCCCAUGUCCAAUCGGAAUCUCCCCAGGAGCAACUUGUGUCCGUAU